rnacentral:rRNA from 1 species
GCCGCGUGAGGGAUGACGGCCUUCGGGUUGUAAACCUCUUUCAGUAGGGAAGAAGCGAAAGUGACGGUACCUGCAGAAGAAGCACCGGCUAACUACGUGCCAGCAGCCGCGGUAAUACGUAGGGUGCGAGCGUUAUCCGGAAUUAUUGGGCGUAAAGAGCUCGUAGGCGGUUUGUCGCGUCUGUCGUGAAAGUCCGGGGCUUAACCCCGGAUCUGCGGUGGGUACGGGCAGACUAGAGUGCAGUAGGGGAGACUGGAAUUCCUGGUGUAGCGGUGGAAUGCGCAGAUAUCAGGAGGAACACCGAUGGCGAAGGCAGGUCUCUGGGCUGUAACUGACGCUGAGGAGCGAAAGCAUGGGGAGCGAACAGGAUUAGAUACCCUGGUAGUCCAUGCCGUAAACGUUGGGCACUAGGUGUGGGGACCAUUCCACGGUUUCCGCGCCGCAGCUAACGCAUUAAGUGCCCCGCCUGGGGAGUACGGCCGCAAGGCUAAAACUCAAA